rnacentral:rRNA from 1 species
UCAAAGUGAACGCUGGCGGCGUGGAUUAGGCAUGCAAGUCGAGCGAUCCUUAAAAAAUCAAGUUGGGGCGCAAGUUCUGACAAGAUUUUUUAUGGAUAGCGGCAGACUGGUGAGUAACGCGUGAGUAAUUUACCUCUAAGCCGUGAAUAGCCUUGCGAAAGCAAGGGUAAAACACGAUGUCCUUUUGACAGCAUAAGCUGUCAAAAGGAAAAGUGGCCCGCAAGGGCUAUUGCUUAGAGAUGAGCUCGCGUCCUAUCAGCUAGUUGGUAGGGUAAUGGCCUACCAAGGCUUUUGACGGGUAGCUGGCCUGAGAGGGUGGUCAGCCACACGGGGACUGAGACACUGCCCCGACUCCUACGGGAGGCUGCAGUCGAGGAUCUUUAGCAAUGGGCGAAAGCCUGACUAUGCGACGCCGCGUGAGGGAUGAAGGUUUUCGGAUCGUAAACCUCUUUCGAUGGGGAAGAAGCUCCUCGGUAAUAAUACUACUGAGGGUUGACGGUACCUAGAGAAGAAGCCACGGCCAACUCCGUGCCAGCAGCCGCGGUAAUACGGGGGUGGCGAGCGCUACUCGGAUUCAUUGGGUGUAAAGGACAGGUAGGCGGCUAUGUAAGUUGGAGGUGAAAUCCUGCGGCUUAACCGCAGAACUGCCUUCAAAACUGCAUGGCUUGAGGCUAGAAGAGGAGAGCGGAAUUCCCGGUGUAAGGGUGAAAUCUGUAGAUAUCGGGAGGAACACCAGUGGCGAAGGCGGCUCUCUGGUCUAGCCCUGACGCUGAUCUGUGAAAGCUAGGGGAGCAAACAGGAUUAGAUACCCUGGUAGUCCUAGCCGUAAACGAUGAGCACUAGGUGUUGGGGGUAAUCCUUC